UACGUAGGGCGCAAGCGUUGUCCGGAAUUAUUGGGCGUAAAGAGCUCGUAGGCGGCCUGUUGCGUCCGCUGUGAAAUCCCGGGGCUCAACCCCGGGCGUGCAGUGGAUACGGGCUGGCUGGAGGCAGGCAGAGGAGAACGGAAUUCCUGGUGUAGCGGUGAAAUGCGCAGAUAUCAGGAGGAACACCAGUGGCGAAGGCGGUUCUCUGGGCCUGUACUGACGCUGAGGAGCGAAAGCGUGGGGAGCGAACAGG
rnacentral:rRNA from 1 species